rnacentral:tRNA from 1 species
GCCUGGGUGGCUCAGCCGGUUAAGCAUCUGACUUCGGCUUAGGUGAUGAUCUCACGGUCCGUGGGUUCGAGCCCCACGUCGGGCU